rnacentral:rRNA from 1 species
CCUUCUUUUUCUCUCUUUUUCCGGAAUCACUGGGCGUAAAGGGCGCGUAGGCGGCCUGAUAAGUAGGGGGUGAAAUCCUGCGGCUUAACCGCAGGGCUGCCUUCUAAACUGUCAGGCUUGAGCACAGUAGAGGCAGGUGGAGUUCCCGGUGUAGCGGUGGAAUGCGUAGAGAUCGGGAAGAACAUCAGUGGCGAAGGCGGCCUGCUGGGCUGUUGCUGACGCUGAGGCGCGACAGCGUGGGGAGCAAACAGGA